rnacentral:rRNA from 1 species
GACGAACGCUGGCGGCAUGCCUAACACAUGCAAGUCGAGCGAGCAGAUCCCUUCGGGGUGAAGCUAGCGGCGGACGGGUGAGUAACACGUGGGCAACCUGCCUCAUAGAGGGGAAUAGCCUUCCGAAAGGAAGAUUAAUACCGCAUAAGAUUCAGCUUCGCAUGAAGCAGGAAUUAAAGGAGCAAUCCGCUAUGAGAUGGGCCCGCGGCGCAUUAGCUAGUUGGUGAGGUAACGGCUCACCAAGGCGACGAUGCGUAGCCGACCUGAGAGGGUGAUCGGCCACAUUGGGACUGAGACACGGCCCAGACUCCUACGGGAGGCAGCAGUGGGGAAUAUUGCACAAUGGGGGAAACCCUGAUGCAGCAAUGCCGCGUGAGUGAUGACGGCCUUCGGGUUGUAAAGCUCUGUCUUCGGGGACGAUAAUGACGGUACCCGAGGAGGAAGCCACGGCUAACUACGUGCCAGCCGCCGCCGUAA